AUAUGAUAUAAUAGCCAAAUAUUUGGAGAGAAGCGAAGAUCAAAGGUUUUAGAAGACAUUUAAUAAAAAGAUCAAAGAAUCGCAUCGGGAACUAUUGGGAAUUGAGACAAACAUUCGAUGUUUGAGGUUGGUCUUCUGAUCAUGAAAAGGCUCCGAUGUGACUGUACUUGCAUCGAAUAAAUUAAUAAUGUUUUUAGACUUCCACUAAAUCUCUCUUUUAUACUUAAUAAAUGUAUGACAAUGAUCUUCCAAUAAAGAUGGGCUCUUGGAUUUGUGUUUUA